GACGACGCUAUUCAAACUCUACAAAAGGAC
rnacentral:sRNA from 1 species